UACAGAGGCCUCGAGCGUUAGGCGGAAUCACUGGGCUUAAAGCGUGUGUAGGCGGACUUCUAAGUACCUUGUGAAAUCCCACGGCUCACCCGUGGAACUGCUUGGUAUACUGGUUGUCUUGAGCCUUCUAGGGGCGAGUGGAACAAAUGGUGGAGCGGUGAAAUGCGUAGAUAUCAUUUGGAACGCCAAUGGUGAAGACAACUCGCUGGGGAAGUGCUGACGCUGAGACACGAAAGCCAGGGGAGCGAACGGG
rnacentral:rRNA from 1 species